rnacentral:lncRNA from 1 species
GCUGAAGGUCCACAAUAGUGUUCUGAGAUCCCGCUUUCCCACCCAUUUUUUCCUGUUAAUCCUGCCAUCCCACCUUUUUUGUCUGGAAAUCUGCUAUAUGUACAUAAGGUUCAUUUCUACCCUCCAGCUCGCAGUUUUUGGGCUGGUCAAUUUAUGAAGUCACGUAUCCCACUCUGUUCCGCUUGUGAAUCUUGCAUCCCAACCCCACAGAAAUAAUCCCACUCCCGCUUCUGUUUUUGGCUCGAAUCUCAAAUUAUCACCACGAAAAAAUGCCAAAUCCCGCAUCCCGCCCAGCCCAUAUGUGGACCCUCAGAGCUCUGUUGCUAGGAUGAUACUGAUGUGAGAUGGAUCCUAGUUCUAGGUAACAUAGUAAAGCUACAUACUGGGUAUGAAGCAAUUCUGAGUGAUUUUUUAUACUCUACAUAGUGAAAUUGUAUUGGCUUGCUGUAGUGUCAUGACUUCCAUGCCAUUGACGUUGCUCAAUUCACUGGAAUUGUACUGUUCCUUUGCCUAAACCACUAGCUGUGAAACUCAUGAGUAGUUGUCGUGUCUAGAUUAAUUUGAAUAAUAGUUAACAACUAUUCCAUGAGUGCACGUUGGAUAUGAGAUAGUAGAUAGCCAACAAGGCCUGUAGUGCCAAGUUGGCUAUAAUCAUCUCAUAUCCAACAAGCGCAAGCGGGAUUGUUGUUUUACGAAAAACACUCCCAAAAUAUAGAGAACUAAAAUAAAAUAAAGGCAGAAAUACACCAAAAAAUUACGCGUACACUUGCAAUAUUUAUAGAGCAUGGUAUAAUUACUCAUAUAACAUGAUGGCUAAACCAAUGAAAACACUUGAAUUGCAUUAUCCAGUGAUCCAGUUUUUAAUAAUAGUACACAUUCAACUGUAACUUAGAGCGAUUUUCAAUUCAGUGUCGUAAAACCAAAACCAAACCAAUUACUUACCAAUUAGACUACUCAGCCGAUCUCAAACCGAAGUAAAACCAAAACCACAACCAAAGUUAUUGUCUAAUUAAUUUAGCCACUAAACCGACCGCUCUAUUGCCAUUUGUUGUUGAUGUGUUUUUGCUUUUCCAUGAAGUCUUAAAUAUCAAUGUAUAUUCCAGUUAAAAGAGCAUGAGAGCUUUUCGUGUUUAUGAAAAUUUUGUUCAUUUGUUUUAUAUCUGUGUUAUUUCUCAAAGGCAAACACCCGAAGAGGAAACCAUGACUGCCAGUGAAUUGGAAGACACUGAACAUUGUGGCAGAAUCAGCUUGUCAAGACUUGUCAAAGAAUUAUCAGAUAGAGCCAUUCAAAAGGUAAUUUUGUUUGUAUACAUGUAUAAUGCAGGGAGUAUAUAUAUCCAGCUUUUGCAAAAUGUAACAUGAACUAACAAAAUAACACACGUGAUUAGGCAUGGCAUGGCAUGCAUGGCAGCUACAAGUCCUACAUGUAGUAUUUAUCAGUUGGAAUGCUUUCUGUUAAGAAUUGACGCAGGGGAUAACAUGGUUGUUGAAUAUGACAUCAUUAUCUUAGUGUAGAAAUGUUCAAACUCCUGUAUUACGAGUGCUAAACUUAUCUUGAUGUAAGCUUGAAUGUCUUCCUUCAGACUUAGCAUGCUGGAUAAUCUAGUGUUCUUUCACGUGGGGUGUUAAACCACUGUAUUUAGUCUGGACAAGUCAAUGAUGCCAUGAAUCGGCAAAAGCUUGGAAAAUUGACCUGACUAAAUAAAGUAGUUUAAGGCCUCAUAUAAAAGGACAUUAGAUUAUCUCAAGUGAUGUGUUGACAAGGUUGAAUAAUGAGCUUAUUUACCUGGAGAAUGCAUUGAUUUAUGAAUUGCUGGAAAAAUGUUAAUACUUGAGAAAGCUGCUGUUGACAACGGAUCACUUAAAAUUAUUAGUAACACCUCAUUUUUAAUGCUAUUUUCAAUGUAGCAUGCAAUUAGUUCUACUCAAAAGUAAACAACAAAUGAUAGGUCUUUCAGUGAAAUAUUUUCAUUUAUUAUCAGGCUAACAAGAAUCAAAUAACAGCAUUGGACAGCUAAGAUCAUUGGGAGAGUCACAUACAGUUAGAUCAGGGCAAACAGGAAACACAUGAACACCAAAAGAUAUGUGGAGAAAGUGAAAUACAUCAAGCACUGCCGGAAGUCUCAGUGACCAGACGGUUGAGGGAAGAUAAAGGUAAAGGCAAGACAAGACAAAGACAAGACAUGACACUGGAGGCAAUAUCAAGAAGUUAGGACGCUAUAGACAGACAUACAUGAAGUACGCAAGGGACGAAAGUAAGACAGAUUGUGAGAGAUUUUUUUCAAACCAAGGGCGUAUAGGAUAAAAUUUAUUUCGUGGACUAAACGUUAGGAUUGGCGAUGUUUUCCUCAGAGUUAAACAGAAUACGAAGGCAAUCUAUAAGGAUGAACUGAUCCGAAAAGUAAUUUAAAGUUAGGUUUUGUAGGAAAAGUUUCGUCAGCUUUGCUUUUACGAAUUCUAGUCCAAUUUUAAUUCUAUUUUAAUCCUUUGUCUUUGUUCACGAUGCGAGAGCUUGGAGGAUUGUGUGACUGACGCGUACGUGACUCUUGAGCAUCAGUGGUGUUGCGUUACACUAGCGGCCAUUGAGAAUAUGUUAAUAAGGCUUUUUACGAAAAUUUAAAUGCACGGCGUUGCAACGGGAGAUUCGACUGUUAAUUUAGCAAAUAAAGAUUGUGAAGUGCCUUUUCAGUGUUAUUUUGUUGGCUUGCUCAGACAAACAGCAAGGCAGCAGGGUAUCAAACGAAACUUUAUAUUCUUUACUUUCUGAGUUAGCAGUUAAAAUACGGCAACUUUUCAUGAAUUUGAAUAAUUCCCGUGCAAAACUUUAUUACUAUAUCCUCAACGUUCCUUCGUGUAGCGCAACACCACUGUAGUUCAAUAGUCACGUACGUUUCUAUCAUAUGAUUCACCGACUUCUCGCAUCGUGAGCAUCGUAAUUCUUUGAUUUUCCUCAAAGGAAAAAUUUUUAUAGUUAGCCUUCGUGUUUAGAAUCGCAAUUUUUUCCUAGUUUCCUUUCACGGACCAAUUUCAGAAUGGAUUGUCUUGUUUAUUCAAAAUGUCUCAACCAAAAGCAGAUUUAGAAAAAAAAAAUUCGCUGCUAAGUUUUUGUCAAGUUAUUUCGAGCUUAUUUCGUAAAGUUAGCUUUGUACAAAAUCAGUUUCUCUUGUUUAUUAAAUAUUUUCUGAAAAAUUGUCUUGACUGCCUAAAUUUACUCUUAGGGUAACCCUCGUCUAAAUUUUUAAUUUUCCCGCCAAAAAACUUAGAAAAAAUACGGGCGCUUAUAAUACGCAUGCGCCAAC